GACGAACGCUGGCGGCGUGCUUAACACAUGCAAGUCGAACGGAAAGGCCCUGCUUUUGUGGGGUGCUCGAGUGGCGAACGGGUGAGUAACACGUGAGUAACCUGCCCUUGACUUUGGGAUAACUUCAGGAAACUGGGGCUAAUACCGGAUAGGAGCUCCUGCUGCAUGGUGGGGGUUGGAAAGUUUCGGCGGUUGGGGAUGGACUCGCGGCUUAUCAGCUUGUUGGUGGGGGAGUGGCUUACCAAGGCUUUGACGGGUAGCCGGCCUGGGAGGGUGACCGGGCACAUUGGGCCUAAGGUACGGCCCAGAGUCCAACGGGAGGCAGCAGUGGGGAAUAUUACACAGUGGGCGGAAGCCUGAUACAGCAACGCCGCGUGCGGGAUGACGGCCUGCGGGUUGUGAACCGCUUUCGCCUGUGACGCAGCGUGAGUGACGGUAAUGGGUAAAGAAGCACCGGCUAACUACGUG
rnacentral:rRNA from 1 species